ensembl:misc_RNA 7SK 7SK RNA
AGAUGCAGGAGCCACAUGGCUAUGACAUCUGUCACUCGGUUGAUCACCAGGGUUGAUUCAGCUGAUCUGGCUGGCUAGGUGCAUGUCCCCUCCCUCCCUCCCUCAGACUAUGUGUGACCCUCCCAAAGCUGCAAGCUGUUAAUAAUUUCCACAGAACUAUCUAGAAACAUCGUUUGCCUAAGACAGCUAACCUCUAACGGUAAACAAGAGUCAGCAAAGUACGUCCAGAAGAAACCAGCUGAAGCUCAUUUUC